UACGAAGGGGGCUAGCGUUGCUCGGAAUCACUGGGCGUAAAGCGCACGUAGGCGGACUCUUAAGUCGGUGGUGAAAUCCUGGAGCUCAACUCCAGAACUGCCUUCGAUACUGGGAGUCUUGAGUCCGGGAGAGGUGAGUGGAACUGCGAGUGUAGAGGUGAAAUUCGUAGAUAUUCGCAAGAACACCAGUGGCGAAGGCGGCUCACUGGCCCGGUACUGACGCUGAGGUGCGAAAGCGUGGGGAGCAACAGGG
rnacentral:rRNA from 1 species